UUACAAAGAGGGGUGGAGGUUGUUGUUCCUUUUUUUUUUUCUUUGUAAUGAAUGGAGGGCGGCGGCGACUGCAGCAGCUGGCUUAGCUGCGUGGGUUGUACCCUCCUCCCAGCCUGCGAGAGGAGGGCCUUGUCAGGGUCACCUGAGAACACAGCUGGUUUCUGGAGUAUUCUUCUCACAUGUCCAGGAUUUCCUCUGUGCUUCCAGAGAAAGGGAGACGCCUGCUUCUGGGACACAUACAGAACAGGUUCAGGAAGAGGCAGACCAGGGACCCCUCUCUUCUAUUCUGAGGAACCUACUGGAAGACUUAACCCAAGGAAACCUGCAAGGAAAUUAGGAAAAUGAUUGGAUGCCACGGGACUGACAGCAAGAGCCAAGCAGGCAGGACCCAGCAGCAGCUGGCACGAGACACCGUACUAUGAAGGACCACCAAGGACAGCAGCAGCCAUGGAGUGGAGCCAGCCAGAGCCUAGGAGACAAUCUUCAUGUGCUGUUCGUGGUAGAACCAGAGAAGCAGAAGUGCCUAGGCCCUUUGGAGCCCAGCAGGUCAUCAUGAAUCCCAGAGACUGCCUUUAGCGAUUCUUAACAUUGUCCAUGGCCAUUACAACAUCAAAAAGAGGCAUGAGCCAAAUGUUCUUCCCAGGAAACUGGAGGCAGUCAUCCCCUGAAUGGACACAGAGUGAAUGCUUAAGGACUUCACAUCAGUCUAGAGCUAUCCAAUUCCGAUCCGAAAUC